rnacentral:rRNA from 1 species
UGGGGAAUAUUGCGCAAUGGGGGAAACCCCGACGCAGCGACGCCGUGUGAGGGAAGAAGGCUUUCGGGUCGUAAACCUCUGUCAGGAAGGAAGAACCUCUCAAGGCUGAACAAGCCUUGGGACUGACGGUACUUCCAGAGGAAGCACCGGCUAACUCCGUGCCAGCAGCCGCGGUAAUACGGAGGGUGCAAGCGUUAAUCGGAAUCACUGGGCGUAAAGCGCGCGUAGGCCGUCUUUUAAGUCGGACGUGAAAGCCCUCGGCUCAACCGGGGAACUGCGUUCGAUACUGGGAGACUUGAGUCCUGGAGAGGGUGGCGGAAUUCCGGGUGUAGGAGUGAAAUCCGUAGAUAUCCGGAGGAACACCGGUGGCGAAGGCGGCCACCUGGACAGGUACUGACGCUGAGGCGCGAAAGCGUGGGGAGCAAACA